UUGGUUUUUAGUAUUUUGUUUGGUGUGUUGUUUUUGGUAUUUUGGAUUAGGAGGUUUAUUUUGCUUGUUGACUGUAACGUGACUCAUUCUCUGGCCAUCAAACAUCCUUAUACAGCUAAAACAGUGGUUGCAGUUUUUGUGAAAGAGGUGGUAAAGUAGUUACAUGGAUAUCCACAAUCUAUUGUGUCUGAUCGGGAUAGGGUAUUUAUCAGCAAUUUCUGGAACGAGUUGUUUCAACUAGCUAGUACUAAACUCCACAGAAGUUCAGCUUAUCAUCCACAAACAGAUGGACAGACUGAAGUUGUUAAUAGGGGGUGGAAGCAUAUCUUCGCUGUUUUUGUGGAGAAAGACCGAAAGAGUGGACCAAUUGGCUGCAUUGGGCAGAGUUUUGGCAUAACACAACAUAUCACAGCUCACUUGGUAUGACUCCUUUCCAAGCAGUGUAUGGACGACUACCACCACCAUUAACAUAUUAUGGUGAUAUGGAAACGCCUAAUUCCACUUUAGAUCAGCAGCUGAAGGAUAGAGAUAUUGUUUUGGGAGUCUUGAAGGAACAUCUCAUCAUUGCACAAGAACAGAUGAAUCGGUAUGCCGAUUUGAAGAGAAGGGAUAUAGAGUUUGGAGUGGGAGAUCUGGUUUUCCUCAAACUUAGACCAUACAGACAAACUUCUUUAAGAAAGAAAAGGAAUGAGAAGUUAUCUCCUAAAUAUUUCGGGCCAUACAAAAUUAUUGAGAAAAUUGGAGCAGUAGCUUAUAAACUCAAACUUCCAUCCACUGCUGCAAUUCACCCAAUAUUUCAUGUGUCUCAAUUGAAGAAGGCGGUAGGUGAUCAUAUGCAAGUGCAUCAAAUAGUGCCUUAAAUGAAAAUCGCGAAUGGAUGACAUCACUGGAAGAAGUAUAUGGUUAUUGAAAGAAUCCAAAUACGAAGGAUUGAGAAGUCUUAAUUGGCUGGAAGGGGUUGCCACCACACAAAGCUACAUGGGAACUAUGCACUGAUUUUCAACAGCAAUUCCCUGACUUCACCUUGAGGACAAGGUGGAUUUGGAGGAGGAGAGUAGUGUUAGACCACCAUUGUUAUUUACUUAUAAUAGAAGAAAGGAAAAUAAAUCACGUGAGGUACCAACAGUUGAUUAAAAAUUAAAAGAGGAAGUUAAGAAGAGGAAAGAAGGGGAUACAGUUACUUGGAAGACAGUUACUGGGAAGAGGGAGUUAAAUCGAUGAGAAGGGGAAAGGAGAAAGGAGGAGAUUUUGAAGUAAAAGAGGUCUGCAAUACUCCUUGAAAGACGGGGGAAGCAAAAGGCUGGUGUUCUGUGUUUUGGUUUGGUUUUUAGUAUUUUGUUUUGUGUGUUGUUUUUGAUAUUUUGGAUUAGGAGGUUUACUUUGCUUGUUGACUGUGAAUUAACUGUAACGUGACUCAUUCUGAGGUUCACAAUUUUUGUUUUAUAUUGUAAGUUGUGUUUGAAUUAUCAAUAUAACAGAAACACUACAUCAGUGUUCUAUCAUGAUUCUAAUGCUACCAAGAAAUAAAUUGGAGAGAAGAAGUGCAUAAGGUAUCAUGCAUCGGUAUAGAUGAAGCCUAAAAU
rnacentral:lncRNA from 1 species